GAUCCUGGCUCAGGAUGAACGCUAGCUACAGGCUUAACACAUGCAAGUCGCGGGGCAGCAUUUCCUUAGCUUGCUAAGGAAGAUGGCGACCGGCGCACGGGUGAGUAACGCGUAUCCAACCUUCCCAUGUCCACGGGAUAGCCCGUCGAAAGGCGGAUUAAUACCGUAUGAGGUCACAUGCGGGCAUCUAAGUGUGACGAAAGGUUUUGCGGACAUGGAUGGGGAUGCGUCCGAUUAGCUGGUUGGCGGGGUAACGGCCCACCAAGGCGACGAUCGGUAGGGGUUCUGAGAGGAAGGUCCCCCACAUUGGAACUGAGACACGGUCCAAACUCCUACGGGAGGCAGCAGUGAGGAAUAUUGGUCAAUGGACGUAAGUCUGAACCAGCCAAGUAGCGUGCAGGAUGACGGCCCUAUGGGUUGUAAACUGCUUUUAUGCGGGGAUAAAGUGUGGGACGUGUCCCAUAUUGUAGGUACCGCAUGAAUAAGGACCGGCUAAUUCCGUG
rnacentral:rRNA from 1 species